AUGGCGCGGUGGCCAGCUGCCGCGGCGUGUGCACUCGGGGCAGCACUCCUGGGCCUGCUGGCGGUCUCAGUAUCCGGGCAGUCGCCAGCGCCGGCGCCGCUGGCCGCCGCGGACGGGGAAGGCGGCAACAGCAGGUUCACGUGCACGGACACUGAGAAGAAGCGGCCCGGGUGCACGGGCAUCUGCCCCGACAGAUGCCCCCAGAGCUGCAUCGCGCUCUGCCCCUCCUGCCAGACAUAUUGCCCAAAGGCUAUGGGAUUUGAGAUGAGCCCUCCUGCUUAUAAGUCUCUUAAUAAUCCCGCAAAAAUUGAGUCCGGUUUCUCUGGAGUCAACUAUGCUUCCGCGACCGCUGGGAUUUGGAUUCAUCGUGGCGACGGACUAAACUUCCCAUUGACGUACCAAGUAAAGUACUUCACGGCGACGAUGGAGAAGAUGGAGGCCAACCAUAGCCGGCAACAGUUGAGGAAGAUGUUGUCCAAUUCCCUAUUCCUAAUCAGCGUCGGCGCCAGCGACCUGUACUACAUCCACAACAUCAUGACCCGACCGGAGCCGGAUAACACAACCGACGUCCCACACCUCAUCUCCUCCUACGGGGACAUCAUUACGGCCUUGUACAACUUGGGCGCGAGGAAGUUCGGGAUAAUCAAUGUCCCCACCUUGUGCACACCGGUGGGCUAUAUGUGCGACGACCUCAUGACCAGCCUCCCCAAGGACUUCAACGACGGCAUCAAGCCGCUCAUGGCUGGCCUCGCCUCCAACCUCGACGGGCUCCGCUACUCCAUCGCUGACUUCCAUGCCUUAUCAGAUGCAGUUAGCACAACUCCUUCAGCAUACGGAUUUGUGAACACCUGGGCCUCAUGCUGUGAAGGCCCCUGUGCACCUAACUAUAGGUCACCAUGUGGGAACCCUAGAGAGUAUUGGUACUGGGACGUCGAGAACCCAACGGAGCAGGCCGCUAAGUUGGCCGCAACUACAUUUCUCAAUGGCACUGUGCAAUUCACAGCGCCCAUGAACUUCAAGACGCUGAUCAACCAGAAAUGA
rnacentral:rRNA from 1 species